rnacentral:misc_RNA from 1 species
AACCUUAUGGACCUGCGGGCGUAUACCUGCGGAAGGAUCAUUACGAGAGUGUCACCACUCCCAACCCAUUGUUUACCUACCCGUCCACCGUGCUUCGGCAGGCAGCCCUGUGGGACAGAGCCUCGCCCCCUUUCGCGGGGGGUGCCUGCCGCUUGCCAACCAAAACUCUAGCUGUUUUAGUACCAUCUGAGUCUUCCACAAAUGAACAAAACUUUCAACAAUGGAUCUCAGAUCGGAAGA